UACGUAGGGUGCGAGCGUUGUCCGGAAUUACUGGGCGUAAAGAGCUCGUAGGUGGUUUGUCGCGUUGUUCGUGAAAACCGGGGGCUUAACCCUCGGCGUGCGGGCGAUACGGGCAGACUUGAGUACUGCAGGGGAGACUGGAAUUCCUGGUGUAGCGGUGGAAUGCGCAGAUAUCAGGAGGAACACCGGUGGCGAAGGCGGGUCUCUGGGCCGAAACUGACGCUGAGGAGCGAAAGCGUGGGGAGCAAACAGG
rnacentral:rRNA from 1 species